UUUCUUUUGGGUGUGGGGAUUCACGAUGUUAGGUGGCCAGACAAGCACAAACCUCUCAGGAGCCCUACCACGACAAGGCCAGAGAACACCCCGAUGACGGAAAGCAUCCAGAUGGAGGCCUCUACAACAAGGGACCCUCCUACUCGAGUUAUUCCGGGUACAUAAUGAUGCCAAAUAUGAAUAAUGACCCAUAUAUGUCAAAUGGAUCUCUUUCUCCACCCAUCCCGAGAACAUCAAAUAAAGUGCCCGUGGUGCAGCCAUCCCAUGCGGUCCAUCCUCUCACCCCCCUCAUCACUUACAGUGACGAGCACUUUUCUCCAGGAUCACACCCGUCACACAUCCCAUCAGAUGUCAACUCCAAACAAGGCAUGUCCAGACAUCCUCCAGCUCCUGAUAUCCCUACUUUUUAUCCCUUGUCUCCGGGUGGUGUUGGACAGAUCACCCCACCUCUUGGCUGGUUUUCCCAUCAUAUGAUUCCCGGUCCUCCUGGUCCCCACACAACUGGCAUCCCUCAUCCAGCUAUUGUAACACCUCAGGUCAAACAGGAACAUCCCCACACUGACAGUGACCUAAUGCACGUGAAGCCUCAGCAUGAACAGAGAAAGGAGCAGGAGCCAAAAAGACCUCACAUUAAGAAGCCUCUGAAUGCUUUUAUGUUAUACAUGAAAGAAAUGAGAGCGAAUGUCGUUGCUGAGUGUACUCUAAAAGAAAGUGCAGCUAUCAACCAGAUUCUCGGCAGAAGGUGGCAUGCCCUCUCCCGUGAAGAGCAGGCUAAAUAUUAUGAAUUAGCACGGAAAGAAAGACAGCUACAUAUGCAGCUUUAUCCAGGCUGGUCUGCAAGAGACAAUUAUGGUAAGAAAAAGAAGAGGAAGAGAGAGAAACUACAGGAAUCUACAUCAGGUCCAAGAAUGACAGCUGCCUACAUCUGAAACAUGGUGGAAAACGAAGCUCAUUCCCAACGUGCAAAGCCAAGGCAGCGACCCCAGGACCUCUUCUGGAGAUGGAAGCUUGUUGAAAACCCAGACUGUCUCCACGGCCCGCCCAGUCGACCCCAAAGGAACACUGACAUCAAUUUUACCCUGAGGUCACU
rnacentral:sRNA from 1 species